GGGCUCACAUAGCUUGGUCCAAUUCUGGGGGCUGACUCCCAGAGGCCCUGAAGUCUGGUGGGCUCAUGCCCCUCACCCUGAAGAAAGCUUAGGACAAAUUCCCAUCUAAGUGUUCCCAGAUAUGAAGAGCAGCGUCCCCAAACCCCACAUGGGCAAGCAGUGUACAUUACGGGGAUGGAAUAUGAGAAAGCCUUUAUUUCACCCACCACAGAAAACACCCAGGGCCUCGGGCUCACCUCCACCAGAGAUUAAUAGGAAGCCACAAACCAAGGCAGAACCAUAAGGUGCUCCCAGAAGGAAUGGGCCAUCAGGCUGGUGGGCAGGCAGUGGUGAGCUCCCUGUCGCUGAUGAUCAUCAAGCAGGGGACGGCUAACAAUCAAUCACUGGUCUGGGACACUGUAGGAGAAAUGACUGCUCAGGAGGCCUUACUCCAAUGACAAACCUACUGGACCUGGAGUGGAUGAGGAUGAUGAAGGACCCCUUUGUCCCCAUGGGCUCCCUGCAGCUGAGCAGUCUCGGUUCUCGGUUCUGGGAGCACUUAGAAAAGGAAGCAGCGAGCCCCAGGAGCUAGCACGGGAUCACUAAGAGCAGAUCAGCCUUGCCUCGCUCCAUUCUGUGGCACGCUUCAUGGAAUCAUCACGCGUGAGCAGAGGAUGCCUGGAUUUCAGCAGGGCACUUCACAAAAUCUCUCAUGAUAUCCCAGAGAGCACGUCUGGGUUCUCUCUAAAGCAGACCUCCCUGGUGAAUAGAGCAGUACAGCAAUGGGAUGGUCUGCCUGGAUAGGUGGUGAGCUCCCCGUCGCUGGGCACCUUCAGCAGGGAGAUGUUCGUAGGAUCACAGAGGGCAGCAUAAAGGGUGCUCAGUGACUCAGUCUCCCUAUCUAUCGUUUCCCUUCUGGGAAGUCUAGGGUUUCGGUGAUGGCCUAGAUAAUAAACAGCAGCAGCAAUA